rnacentral:misc_RNA from 1 species
CUGAGUUAGGGUCUUUAUGGCCCGACCUCCAACCCUUUGUUUAUUAUACCAUGUUGCUUUGGCGGGCCUGCCUUUCGGGGCUGCCGGGGGCACUGCUGCCCCUGACCCGCGCCCGCCAGGAGCCUUCCUUAAAUUCUGUGUUUAACCAUGUUGUCUGAGUCCUCAUAUCAAAUUAUAAA